UACGUAGGGUGCAAGCGUUAAUCGGAAUUACUGGGCGUAAAGCGUGCGCAGGCGGUUUUGUAAGACAGUGGUCAAAUCCCCGGGCUCAACCCGGGAACUGCCAUUGUGACUGCAAGGCUAGAGUACGGCAGAGGGGGGUGGAAUUUCGCGUGGAGCAGUGAAAUGCGUAGAUAUGCGGAGGAACACCGAUGGCGAAGGCAACCCCCUGGGCCUGUACUGACGCUCAUGCACGAAAGCGUGGGGAGCAAACAGG
rnacentral:rRNA from 1 species